UCAGUCCACAGGAAUAGGGGUAGCGGAUCCCCUAUAGCGGCCAAAUCCCGGUGCGCCCAGCCGCUGCUUGUGAACCUCGCCUCCAUCAGCUCCACUUCACCAGAGCCGUCAGUCCGCAGGAGUUGGGGUAGCAGGUUCACCCAACGUCCGACGCCUUCUUCCAUCUCCAAAAAUCUUGUUUUUUGAGUUCAGUUCUUCGUCACAUGUUUCACUAGCUGAAAAAUGCAUGGUGUUCUGAAAUUGCUUGCGGACCACUAGCUGAAAUUGCUUGACGAACAAAAGCAAAGGUUUUAUCUUCAUCUACUAUUUUUUCAGAUAUUCGUCAUAUGCACGAGCAUGACUAUAUUUGCUUGUUAUGAUCUAGUGGGCAACAUUAACAUUUGGGUAGUCCUUCUGCAGGGCCCAAACCCACUGUCGUGCAAGAAAAAGAAAGCAAAGCCCCAACCAUCAGCUGCUCAAUCAUCAGAACUAAUAGUAAGAUGGAGAAGAGAUAAUGCAACAAAAAUCUUAGAUGGGGCAGUGAAGUCCAUUGCGCAUUCUGAUUUUUUGUAGCUCCGGACAUCAGUUGUAUUGAGACAUGGAUGGCUCUACACCUGAAGUACAUAUAUCUGACAAGCAUGAUCACAUGUUCCCUUUAGAGUCUGAUGGUCGAUGGAGAGGCGAAGCGAAAGACGGUUAGGAAGCGCAAGAGAAGUGGCAAAGACAGUAGGUCCAUGUGUAUUUAACAGCAAGUCCAUGUAUUACUACAUGAGAAGUACUGCUAUUCCCUCACUGGAUUUGCAGGCUCACGACAAUCCUCCAACACCCCGUCAGUGCCACUGAUUUGAAGGACCUCGCACGAGAGAGGUUUGGACAGACGCUGAUCACUAGCUCUCUAUGACGCCGCCGAUCACUAGAACGAAGAACACAAGCAGGAUGAGAAUGAAGUACAUGACAUAGACAAUGAGGACGACCAAAACAUGGAAUCCGUACACAUAGCACCAACUGCAAAUUCGAACUUUCUGUCUAUGAUGAUUUGAUUGCUACUUCUUAAAGAAAGUGUACAUAACAGUUAGAUGUUUGUGCUAGAAAGGAAAACUUGUUUGAAUUAAAAACAUUGACCAGUACGAAUCAAAAACAUUGAUCA